AUGAAACCAAUCUUCAAACCGCCAAGCACCACCAUUCAAACGGUGGAUGAGCUCAUUGAUACGACCACGUGGUCGUGGCGGCAAGAUGUGGUUAGGGAAACCUUCGUCGCCCCGGAUGCUGAAGCCAUUCUAAACAUUCCGAUCAGGCAAGGGGGAGGUGACGACUCAUUUGCUUGGGCAUUCGAGAAAUCAGGCAACUACACGGUGAAGACAGCGUACCGUGCUCUAAUGACUCAUAAAGAGCGCUUGGCUCUGGAGGAAGGGACGACUAUCGGAACCUUAGUAGACGACCAUCAGUUGUGGAAGGCCUUGUGGAAAUUGAAUGUCAUACCGAAAGUGAGGGUUUUUUGGUGGAGAGUUCUUCGUGGGAUUCUUCCGGAUGAAGCUACUCUCAACUAUCGUCACAUUGCACCAAUUAAUCGGUGCAAAGUCUGCUUAGCGAUGAGAGAGGAUCUGGAGCAUGCUCUUAUUCACUGCUCCCAUGCGCAACGCUUCUGGGACGAGGCCUGUGCUUGGUUUGGCAUUAGGCUACCCCGACUCCAUCCUGACUCAUGGGCUCGCGACAUCACAUGUGAUCCCCGUUUCUCUGAUGAUGACUGA
rnacentral:rRNA from 1 species